UCGUUUAAGUUUGUUCCUUGUUUUCGCGCUUGUUGUGAUGGCUUUCGCAGAGGACGCAUCUUCGGCUGCUCCAUCAUCAGCGUCGCCAGCUUCACCAGCAACGACGCCAAUGACUCCAGCCACACCAAAAACCACUCCAAAACCAGAUAAAGCGGAAAAUAUAAUAACAGGUCUGGUGAAAGCUGCUUAUGAUAUACCUAAAGGCUUUUUUGACGCGUGCUCAGAUUUCAAGAAGGCAGUGUUUGGUGGAUUCUUCUAAUACAAGUACAAAUUGAAACAAAGAAACACGACGCUCAAUCAAUCAAAUCAACUUCACAAUUGUUAAUUUUCAUAUUUAAGAUGUAAUAAAGACUGUUUACGAA